rnacentral:rRNA from 1 species
AAUCAACGCUGGCGGCGUGCCUCAGACAUGCAAGUCGAACGAUUAAGACUCUCUUCGGAGAGUGUAUAAAGUGGCGCACGGGUGAGUAACACGUAGGUAAUCUACCUUUGAGUGGGGAAUAACUUAGGGAAACUUAAGCUAAUACCGCAUAAUGCAGCGGCAUCUUCGGAUGACAGUUGUUAAAGGAGCAAUUCGCUUAAAGAGGAGCCUGCGGCAGAUUAGCUAGUUGGUAAGGUAAUGGCUUACCAAGGCUACGAUCUGUAACCGACCUGAGAGGGUGGUCGGUCACACUGACACUGAAUAACGGGUCAGACUCCUACGGGAGGCAGCAGUCGGGAAUUUUGGGCAAUGGGCGAAAGCCUGACCCAGCAACGCCGCGUGAAGGAUGAAGUCUUUCGGGAUGUAAACUUCGUAAGAAUAGGAAGAAUAAAUGACGGUACUAUUUGUAAGGUCCGGCUAACUACGUGCCAGCAGCCGCCGUAACAC